rnacentral:lncRNA from 11 species
AAGAUUCAUUAAUAUAUUCCCAGCUCUUUCCUUUCUUGAAUGGAGGGCUUGAGAAGCAAUAAUGAAAGUAAUUCAAAUCUUUAGUAAGAAGCCACCUUAAUGUCUCCAGUGGUGGACAUCUUGGGUUUCCUGACUCAGCCUGGGAAUGAAGAAGUAACCGGAAUUUACAAAAUUUCACCCCUAUUCAAUUCCAAGGCAAGUCAUUGAAUCAGUGUCUCUCUCUUAGUCUUACAGGGAUGUUGUAUUCAGGCAUAGCUGAGUUGUCCAUGCAAUAAAACGG